rnacentral:rRNA from 1 species
AGAGUUUGAUCAUGGCUCAGGAUGAACGCUAGCUACAGGCUUAACACAUGCAAGUCGAGGGGAAACGACAUCGAAAGCUUGCUUUUGAUGGGCGUCGACCGGCGUACGGGUGAGUAACGCGUAUCCAACCUGCCCACCACUUGGGGAUAACCUUGCGAAAGUAAGACUAAUACCCAAUGAUAUCUCUAGAAGACAUCUGAAAGAGAUUAAAGAUUUAUCGGUGAUGGAUGGGGAUGCGUCUGAUUAGCUUGUUGGCGGGGUAACGGCCCACCAAGGCAACGAUCAGUAGGGGUUCUGAGAGGAAGGUCCCCCCACAUUGGAGCUGAGACACGGCCCAAACUCCUACGGGAGACAGCA